rnacentral:lncRNA from 1 species
ACACAUUUAUCAUACUAAUUUUUUUAACUAAACUAAUUAUUUACAAUAUAAAAUUAAAAUAAAAGUAUAUAAAAUGCAGAAAUCAUAAUAAUUUAAGUUCAAUGGACCUACAAAGAUAUCCCAAAUGUUUGGUAACAAGCAUCUAAUAAGUAUCAAAUUAAGUGUAAAUAUCAAAUACUAAAAAAAAUCAAGCCUAAAAAAUGUUUGAAUGAAAAUUUGAGACAUCAUUAAGCUUAUGGACCUCUUUCACAUUCUUCAUGCGAGUAAAUUGAUUCUUGUAUUAGCUCUUUCUUAGCAAUGAUAGAGGUUACCUGUUAAAAAAAAUAAAAUAAAGAACUUUCAGUAUGCAGCAAUUAGGAAACUAUUCAAAAUGCAAGUAAUAAAAUAUUGCCCACUACAUAUGUGAAAAGUGGAAACAUAAAAGUAAUUUGGUUAAAUGAUAAAGAGUUGUUAAUGAUAAAAGAAGAAAUACCUGGGACCUAAAACAUAUUAAUCAAAACAAAUGUUGUUAAUACACAGAUACACGAUUGCCAAAAGAACAAAUUAACAAUAGUCCAUGGAUGUAAGUACAUUUAUGUUCAUAUUGCUAAAAACAACAGACAAUUUUUCAUUGGAGAUAUGUUCUUGGAUUAGGUUAAACAUAACAUUAACAACAAUCUUUAAUUGAUGAAUAGUUUCUGAAUAUCUUGUGCCCACCCAUACUGUCAUUCCAAACACAAAACAUGAAACACAAACAUCAAUAUUUUACCACAUAAGUUCUAGAAAAUUGGUUUAUUUAUAACAAAAAAAUUAAUGGGACCUACAUGGUUAAAACUCAAGCACUCAAAACUCAAACGAAUUCAAUUUUUGUGGAUUGAUUUUAUCAGGCAUUAUAUCGAGCACAUGGUAUGCAUUUCACUAAACACCAAUUAUAAAACAUAAUUACCAUUUAACUAUUGCCAAUAUACAAACCACUAGAUAUCAUAUCAAUUAGAAGUAAAGCAAUUGUAAUUAAUUUAAUGAUAGAGCACAGGAGAAGGAACAAACAAUUAGAACAAAUGAGUGAAACAAUAAAUUACUUAUAGUACCUUUCUUUUCUUAAACAUGUAUAUAAAUUCACAACAAGUAUUGCAACAAGAUCAAUAAUGAAGAAAAAUCGAAGUGCAUCAGAGUUCAAAAUUAGUAAUUUCAAGAUGAGCAUUAGGGGAUAAAAAUAGGAGUACUACAUACCUGCUGAUGAUGAAGAUAACUCUUGAUCGAGAAAAUCACAAGAGAGAAAAAACGCAGCAAGAAGAGAAACACGCGGCAAGAAGAUCGAUGGUUUCUUUCCUGUAAAAGAUGAAAAAGCUAAAUGGAUAUUGUCAAUUGAACCUGUAGGCACAGACUAAAAUCAGUUGAAGGUUAAUAUUCGGCGAACUGAGAUCAACCGAAGGUUAUUAGAUGCCGAAAAACCCGACUAAAGGUGAUACACGUACCUGAAUUUCGACUAGUUAGGGUGAAAUUAGGUUUGCUUGAAAUCGAUUGAAGACGAGGGAAGCAGGAAAAUUAUUCAAUUAAAAUAUGAUUUUAACUAUAAGGAGGGGGAAUGAAUUUUCAACUGAGGGAAUAGAAAAGGCGCUGGAUUUCAAUUUUCAACGGGGAGGGAAGCUAGGUUUUUCACUGGAGGGAAAAGAAAAGAGGGAAUUGAAUAUUUUGAUGGAGGGAGUGAGGUUUUCGUCUUCACCAGGUGAAAAUUACGCAUCAUUCUACAUAAAAUGCCACUAAAACUAUUUAUUUCUUUUAUGGCAUAUGAAAAAUUACUGGCACAAAAUCCAAAUGUCACUAAAAGUGUGUGCCACUAAAUGGCUUUUUUUAUGGCAUAUGAAACUAUUUAUUUCUUUUAUGGCAUAUGAAAAAUGCCAUUAAAAACUAAAAUUACUGGCACAAAAUCCAAAUGUCACUAAAAGUGUGUGCCACUAAAUGGCUUUUUUUUGUAGUGUUCCGAUUGCUCCCAAAUUCUUAGUAUAAGCUAAUAUAAGAG